rnacentral:rRNA from 1 species
UACGUAGGGUGCGAGCGUUAAUCGGAAUUACUGGGCGUAAAGCGUGCGCAGGCGGUUUGUUAAGACAGAUGUGAAAUCCCCGGGCUUAACCUGGGAACUGCAUUUGUGACUGGCAAGCUAGAGUAUGGCAGAGGGGGGUAGAAUUCCACGUGUAGCAGUGAAAUGCGUAGAGAUGUGGAGGAAUACCGAUGGCGAAGGCAGCCCCCUGGGCCAAUACUGACGCUCAUGCACGAAAAGCGUGGGGAGCAAACAGG